GACGAACGCUGGCGGCGUGCCUAAUACAUGCAAGUCGAACGCAGUUGCGAACGGGUGAGUAACGCGUAGGUAAACUGCCGCAUAGCGCGGGAUAACUAUUGGAAACGAUAGCUAAUACCGCCUACUUUGAGAUGGACCUGCGGUUGGUUAGCUAGUUGGUGAGUUAAAGGCUCAACAAGGCGCCGAUACAUCGCCGACCUGAGAGGGUGAUCGGCCACACUGGGACGUGGACACGGCCCAGACUCCCACGGGAGGCAGCAAUUAGGGAUCUUCUGCAAUUGACGGAAGUCUGACCCAGCAACGCCGCGUGAGUGAAGAAGGUUUUCGGAACCUAAAGCUCUUUUGGUAGGGAAGCGGUAACUAACCAGAAAGGGACGGCUAACUACGUGCCAGCAGCCGCGGUAAUUC
rnacentral:rRNA from 1 species